UGUUCCUGGAGAAGAGAUCCUGGCAGAUUUGGGGGUGUGCCUGGGGUGGAGAAAUCCUGUAGGACUGACCGACUUGAGACAGGAGACACUCCUCACUACAAUUUCUGGCUUGUGAGCUACAAUCUGACUUCGAGGCCACCAGAGUUUAGAUACUGGCUACCCAGUAAGAACAAUUAUGCUCAUUUGUCAACAUAUUAUCAGAUCGCUGUGUGCCUCCAACAUGUCAGACUCCAAGCCUGAUCUGACUCUAAGGUGAAGGUGGUGUCAGAGAUAUCGGGGCGGCACCCAAGCACUUAGGAUUCCAGAGAAGAACUCUCAGAGAGGCAGCGGCACCUGAAUACCUUGACAAAUCCUUAUUUGACCUUUUGUGGGGAGAGCUUGAGUUCAUCUCGGUUUGUCAAGGCCUGCCUGGUGACCCUCUCAUGUGCCUUCUCCAGCCCUGCUCCCAUAGUUGUCAGAAUCACGAAUACUGACUCACCAUGAGAGGUCCUUUCCCUGGAGACAGAUGUGCAGGGCUCAGAGCCGGAGCAAGGCACAGUUAAGGCUCCGCCACACCCCUGGGGGCUGAGCCUACCUGUACUCUCUCAUUGAUUGCCUACCUGUCUGUCAGUCCCUUUGCUAGCCCAGAGCUCUUUUUUGUCACCUAGCACCUGGGAGUCUGGGGUGGAUACUUAGCAUAGCUGGGAUGUCCCUCCUUGACAAGGCUCCCCUUUUCACAGUGACUGGAAACAUGCCCAGGCUGAGAGCCUUGUUGGAGAGAGGGAAGGUGUGAGCAUGGCCUGGUCAGUGGGCAGAGAGGGUGUCCAGGGAGAGCUCAUGACUCUGGAACUGUGGAAAGCUGGGUUACACCCACCCUCCUUUGCAGGGCAACCGUGUAGAGGCAGUAGGAUGAAGAGUCUAUACAGCUGCCCUUCCUCUCGGAGUGGGCCUCAAGCCUUCCCAGCAGGGCUCUCAGGCCCUGUUGCCCCACCAGCCUCAAGGCACAAAGUCCAGUGGGGUGAUUUUGUCAUCUCUUCCCAUGGCAGCCUUAAAGGGCCAGUGCUUUCCAGAGGGUUAAUAAUUACCUGUUAGGUCACCAGCAGCCCCAGAAGGUGGUAUCCGUGAAGAUGAGUGUGUGGGUGGGUAUAAGGAGGUGACAGAGCAGUCGCCUGGCCCUAGGCAAGGCUGGAGGCUUCCUUGGAAUUCAUCCCCUCAGGGGCUAUCUCUACCCCAGAGCUGUGCUCUCUGGCCGUGAGCCAUGAAGAGGAUUUCGUGUGUUUAAUGGCAGAGAGCCCAGAGAACUUGUGAGCUCCGAGGGAGAGUAAAGUCUAGGGUGCCGCCCCUCACUCUGACAAGAGAGCAAUCCAAAGAAAAAUCGUGCCAGGCCUGGGAUGCGCACCAUGGAAGGGUGAUGCCCAGGCAAGUGGGGUUGUAUCUUAGGGCCCGAGGAAAGUAGGCAUUGCUACUUACAGCCUGCAUUCACACCAUCGCUAGGCUCGGAGGUCCCCUGUCUCCCGCUCACCUCACAGGCUCCUCUUUUCCCUGCUCUCCAUCUCCGGUCCUUAGCCUUAGGAAGCAGGGUGACAAGGACUAAUAGUGCUGGGCAUGUUAUGUAGCCCAUACAGUAGGUUUGUGGAGAAGGUAUUCCUCUCAACGCUUUGGUCACUGUGAUGAGCCCUGUCCUUCCCAUGUCCCCAACAGGACCGGCUCGGUUGACCUUCCAGUGAGCUUUUGAGGGCUAUCACAUCCAGCCCACAUCCCCUUCUCUUCCUCCUCGUAAGAAUCUGGCCGCUCUGAGCUCAUCCAGUCUGGACCAUCAGCCCCUGCCUGGCCUGCUAUGUCCAUAGCCUCUCUGUAGUCAGACCAAGGCCUCUGACAGCCCUGGAGGAGGGGAGGGGAUGGAGAGGGUGACAUGAACAAGAAGGCGGGCACGAGAAGGAUGUCAGUCUCAGGCCCUUUCCUGCUUUUGAUCGAGAGAGUUCAUCACAACGUCUGAGUGUUCAAAUAAAAAUAUUGCUGCAA